rnacentral:misc_RNA from 1 species
UACAGAGGUGACAAACGUUGUCCGGAAUCACUGGGCGUAAAGGGCAUGCAGGCGGUUCGGUAAGUCAGGUGUGAAAUCUUCGGGCUCAACCCGGAAAUUGCACUUGAAACUGCCAAACUUGAGUUCGGUAGAGGAGGGCGGAAUUCCUGGUGUAGCGGUGAAAUGCGUAGAUAUCAGGAGGAACACCGGUGGCGAAGGCGGCCCUCUGGUCCGAUACUGACGCUGAGAUGCGAAAGUGUGGGGAGCAAACAGG